CGAACUCGACAAAGAAACGCCAUUUCAAUUCAAAACCCUAGAAUCUCCUCUCUUUGUUUUCUCCAAUUUUCGGCGAGAAUCGGUGAUCAUUUCCGUCGGCGAGUCUGCCGCCGUCGAGGAUUUUGUCCUCUCAGGCUAAAACUUAAUUGGAAGAUCUCCGUGAAUUGGGGUCACUCAACAAGCACGCAUGCAUGCUCGAGCUUUGAAGGAAUUUGAUCAUUGUCUUCCCAUGCUUCCAGAACAGAACUGCAAAUACAGUUGAGGAGAUAAUUACAAAUAUCAUGCGCGUCAAGUUAUAUGAAGGACUUCUCCAGUAUGACAGGUACUGUUUCCACAGGCAAGCUUUGAACUGCACCCAUCCAUUUUGUGGAAAACGAGUGGGAAAGUGUAAAUCACUUGAAUCUGGUGGUGGUUUGCUAACUUGUCUGACGAGCUCUUGAUUAUUCCUGGAAUUGGGGAAAAUAGAACAUAAGCUGCUCUAGCAUCUAAACCUGAUGUGGGUUCGUCCAUGAAUAUAAUAGAUGGAUUUGCAACAAGUUCUACAGCAAUAGUCAGUCGUUUCCUCUGCUCAGUAGAUAAUCCGCUGACCCCAGGUGUAAGAUCAAUAUCUACAAGUUGUUUUGGACGAUCUUAAGUCCUUACCUUGCCUGCUUCCAACACCUUGAAAGCGUGCUGAAAAAUCCAAAGUCUCCCGUACAGUCAUCUCAGGAAUAUGCAGAUCAUAUUGGCUCACGUUGAAAUCUAUAUAGAAAAGUACAAACAAAUUUUUUGGAAGGGGAAUUUGCUUCGAUGCAAUCCAACCAUUGCUAAUGACUUUCUUUUGAGGUAGAAAGCCCACUACCAAAGGGCCUGUUACAGGUAUUUGCAAGAAAAAAAGCUGUGUGCGUGAUGGAUUGCAGUCUGCAAUAAGCAUUGUCAAGAAUAGUGCUUCUGAUGACCAUAUGUUGGAUGUGCAAGUUGAAGAGGAAACGAAAGUAAUAGAUAUGGCGGCGAAAGGAGAUUUUAUAGCCGAAGGUUAUCGUUCUGAAUGUGCUUGAUGAGCUUCUCGAUGAGCAAUCGCCUCUCUGAAGCCCCGAGCUUGGUGACAUCAACAACCUUCUUCUUCUUCACCUUCUGAUCCUCACUGCUGCUUCCA